rnacentral:rRNA from 1 species
AUUGAACGCUGGCGGCAGGCCUAACACAUGCAAGUCGAGCGAGCGGCGGAAGGGUGAGUAAUGUCCGGGAGACUGCCUGUUGGAGGGGGAUAACUACUGGAAACGGUAGCUAAUACCGCAUACCAUCAGAUGUGCCCAGACGGGAUUAGCUAGUAGGUGGGGUAACGGCUCACCUAGGCGACGCUCCCUAGCUGGGCUGAGAGGAUGACCAGCAACACUGGGACUGAGACACGGUCCAGACGCCUACGGGAGGCAGCAGUGGGGAAUAGUGCACAAUGGGGGCAAGCCUGAUGCAGGCAUGCCGCGUGUGUGAAGAAGGCCUUCGGGUUGUAAAGCACUUUCGGCAGGGAGGCGUUACCCGCAGAAGAAGCACCGGCUAACUCCGUGCCAGCAGCCGCGGUAAUUC